GGAAUCCCUGUACAAGGUCUCAGCUGGCACAGCCAAGUGGCCCUCAGCAAAAUCCCAGGACUGGGUUCUGCAGGCUCUGAGGCACCAGAACGGAUACAACUCCAGCAGCAGCAGGAAGGAGCUCGCCAAGGUCUCCAUCUUCUACCGGCAGCUGCGCUCCCAGGCCCUGCAUGAGGCCCCGCUGCUCUCGGAGAACCUGCUGCUGUCCAGCAUGGGGAGCCAGUGGAGCCUGUGGUUCGGCUCCUCGGUGCUGUCGGUGCUCGAGGUGCUGGAGCUGCUCGCCGAUGCUCUGGUCCUGGCCCUGCUCUGCUGCUUCCGCCGGCUCCGGGCCUUGGAGCGGCCCCCGGCCCCGGAGAGCUCCGGGGAGCGGCAGGAGGAGCCCCGGGAAGGGCAGCAGGGAGCCCGAGGAGCGGGAAUGGGGCUCCCACGGCACCCGGAGCUGGAGCUGGAGGGGUUCCAGAGCAGCCGGGAGCUGGGACCGGAGUGAGGAACUGAGACCUGGAAUUCUCCUGAGGCUGGGGAAGGUGCCAGGGACAUCCUGGAUCCACAGCUGAGCAUGGAAAUGCCUGGAAUUCUCCUGAUCCUGCUGGAAGGGUGCCAGGGAUGCCCUGGAUCCACAGCUGGGAGCUCUGGCAAUGCUUGGAAUUCUCCUGAUGCUCCUGGAAAAGUCACAGGGAUGUCCUGGAUCCUCUCUGGGAGCUCCCUGAGCAUGGGAAUGCCUGGAAUUCCCUUCAUGCUGCUGGAGACGUGCCAGGGACAUUGUGGAUCCACAGCUGAGCAUGGAAAUGCUGGGAAUUCUCCUGAUCCUGCUGGAAAUGUGCCAGGGACACCCUGGAUCCUCUCCUGAGGGUGGCAGUGCUUGGAAUUCUCCUGAUGUUGCUGGAAAAGUCAGGGAUGCCCUGGAUCCACAGUUGGGAGCUCUGGCAAUGCCUGGAGUUCUCUUGAUCUUGCUGGAAAAGUCACAGGGAUGUCCUGGAUCCUCUCUGGGAGCUCCCUGAGCAUGGAAAUACCUGGAAUUCCCUUAAUUCUGUAGGAAAGGUGCCAGGGAUGUCCUGGAUCCACAGCUGAGCUCCCCCAGCCCCUCCAGGUUCCCACUGCACAUCCCUGGAUCCUGCAUCCCGAGGUUUUGGAUCCCAGGGAACGCCUGGGCAGGGGGAGCUGUGCUCUGGGAGUCCUGGAAUCCUCUCCAAGGGCUGUUCCCAGCUGGAAUUCCCAAGCCCUGGUGAGGAGCUCACUCUGAGGCCGGGCCGGGCCCAGCCAGGUUUCACCGAGGGAGGGAAUUCCAGGAGAAUCCAAGGAUUGUGUGGGAUGGGAAUGGGCUUGGAAUGGGAUAGGUUUAACCCUUCCAAUCCCAAACCAUUCCCUGCCCCUGGGAUUCACAUCCAGGGUUGUCCUGAUCCUGCCUGGAAUUCCCAAACACCUCCUGGGCUCUGAUCCCAGAAUUCCUAAACACCUCCUGCCCUUGGGCUCUGCUCCCACCUGGAAUUCCCAAACAUCUCCUGCCCUCUGAUCCUGGAAUUCCCAAACAUCUCCUGCCCUCUGAUCCUGGAAUUC
ensembl:lncRNA